rnacentral:rRNA from 1 species
AGAGUUGAUCAUGGCUCAGGAUGAACGCUGGCGGCGUGCCUAAUACAUGCAAGUCGUGCGAGGUAGCUUGCUACCUAGCGGCGAACGGGUGAGUAACACGUAGGUAACCUGCCCUUAGACUGGGAUACCCGAGGGAAACCUUGGCUAAUACCGGAUAACAACAGAGAAGGCAUCUCCUCUGUUUGAAAGCUGCGUUUGCAGCACUAUUGGAUGGACCUGCGGCACAUUAGCUAGUUGGUGAGAUAACAGCCCACCAAGGCGAGGAUGUGUAGCCGACCUGAGAGGGUGAACGGCCACAAUGGGACUGAGACACGGCCCAUACUCCUACGGGAGGCAGCAGUAGGGAAUUUUCGGCAAUGGGCGAAAGCCUGACCGAGCAACGCCGCGUGAGUGAGGAAGUUCUUCGGAACGUAAAGCUCUGUUGUUCCUGACGAACCUCCCUUCUAUCAACAACGGAAGGGACUGACGGUAGGGAACGAGGAAGCCACGGCUAACUACGUGCCAGCCGCGGC